UACGUAGGGUGCGAGCGUUGUCCGGAAUUAUUGGGCGUAAAGCGUGCGUAGGCGGCUAUGUAAGUCCGCUGUGAAAGUCGGGGGCUCAACCCUCGAAUGCCGGUGGAUACUGUCGGGCUAGAGUGCGGAAGAGGCGAGUGGAAUUCCUGGUGUAGCGGUGAAAUGCGCAGAUAUCAGGAGGAACACCAAUUGCGAAGGCAGCUCGCUGGGACGUAACUGACGCUGAGACGCGAAAGCGUGGGGAGCAAACAGG
rnacentral:rRNA from 1 species